rnacentral:misc_RNA from 1 species
UUAUGUUUCAUUUUUGUAUGUGAUGAGGAAUGAGGAUGGAUGUUUGGGAUCCUUGUGUACUACAGUAACUACGAUAAGCAUGAUGCUCGAUCACCCUGUCAACUGGUUUUUCUUGCUUAAUUGCGUGCUAAUAAUAGGCAUUUUGGACUUUGUUUACUGAUGAAUAUACUUUGGAUCAGAUUAAAACACAUUUGUACUAUUUAAGUAAUGGCCGUCCAUCACUAUGUUGGCCAUUUUAUGUUAAUUAUGUUGAAGAAGAUUCUAUGCCAAUUGUAAAGUUUCAAUUGUUUUAGGGGUUUUGCACUGGUUAUGCAAUUUCAACUAUUUUUAUCAUGUGUACUGAUGCAAUGCCAGAAGUGUGUUCUCUCCUGGCAAGGCAAGAAUGCUUUAGGAUUUGUUAAUUUCAUAAGCUCUGUUUAAGUUUAAUUUUGAAUUGCUAGCGUGUUUUUUGUUUAUUACUUGCAUAAUUUGUAUUCCCUAUGUUUUUGUUUUUCUGCUCGUAUAGAUUCUUGUUUUGUUUUCCUGGUUGCUGAUGAAAUUUUUUUAUUAAGGUCCUGUGUCUGUGACCAUGACUUCUGUUUUGUGGUAUAACUGCAGGUUUUAUGACUCAUUGGUAACUUA